rnacentral:lncRNA from 1 species
AUGGGAUAUAGGUAUAAGUGUCCCUUAGACCUGAGAUCGCCUCAGUGACUUGCAAGCAACUCACUGUGCUUUGGUACUGGACUAACUGAAUUUCUAAUUCAGGGAUGGAAGGCUUCUGGGCACAGUCAAGUACUUGUAAAGUCAGAGUAUGAUCGAGAUGGGAUUGACCACUCCAAGAGUUGGAGAAGAAUGAGUCGCUGUAUUUCAAUUUAGCAAAACCUUGGCCAGGGUAAUCCAUCAGAUGGAUUUGAUAUUUUGAAAUACAAUGUGGACAACCUGAUCAGAGUUGAUAGUUAAACUCUGGGGUGUCCUAUGAUCAUUUUGGUCAAGGGGAUGAAUUAUAUAAAAACUAUAUCCGCAUGGGUUCUAAGGAUGUUGUU